CCGGACGUGGUGCACGAUGCACUCCCGCCUUCUGUUGCAAGUUACUCUAGCAUGUGCGAGCAGCCCGGGUUCGACUCCCGGCGUUCGAA